UACGGAGGGGGCGAGCGUUAUUCGGAAUUAUUGGGCGUAAAGGGCGCGUAGGCGGCCCGCUAAGUCAAAGGUGAAAUCCCUCGGCUCAACUGAGGAACUGCCUUUGAGACUGUCGGGCUUGAGGCCGGGAGGGGGUAGCGGAAUUCCCAGUGUAGCGGUGAAAUGCGUAGAUAUCUGCAGGAACACCCGUGGCGAAAGCGGCGCGCUGGACCACUACUGACGCCGAGGAACGAAAGCUAGGGGAGCAAACAGG
rnacentral:rRNA from 1 species